UGGCCCCGCACCAAGCAUUAUCCUACACAC
rnacentral:piRNA from 1 species